UACGAAGGGGGCGAGCGUUGUUCGGAUUUACUGGGCGUAAAGGGCGCGUAGGCGGCUUGUCGCGUCGAAUGUGAAAACCCACGGCUCAACUGUGGGCUUGCAUUCGAUACGGGCAGGCUAGAGUUCGGUAGGGGAGACUGGAAUUCCUGGUGUAGCGGUGAAAUGCGCAGAUAUCAGGAGGAACACCGAUGGCGAAGGCAGGUCUCUGGGCCACUACUGACGCUGAGAAGCGAAAGCAUGGGGAGCGAACAGG
rnacentral:rRNA from 1 species